rnacentral:rRNA from 1 species
GACGAACGCUGGCGGCGUGCCUAAUACAUGCAAGUAGAACGCUGAAGGAGGAGCUUGCUUCUCUGGAUGAGUUGCGAACGGGUGAGUAACGCGUAGGUAACCUGCCUGGUAGCGGGGGAUAACUAUUGGAAACGAUAGCUAAUACCGCAUAAGAGUAGAUGUUGCAUGACAUUUGCUUAAAAGGUGCAAUUGCAUCACUACCAGAUGGACCUGCGUUGUAUUAGCUAGUUGGUGAGGUAACGGCUCACCAAGGCGACGAUACAUAGCCGACCUGAGAGGGUGAUCGGCCACACUGGGACUGAGACACGGCCCAGACUCCUACGGGAGGCAGCAGUAGGGAAUCUUCGGCAAUGGACGGAAGUCUGACCGAGCAACGCCGCGUGAGUGAAGAAGGUUUUCGGAUCGUAAAGCUCGGUUGUAAGAGAAGAACGAGUGUGAGAGUGGAAAGUUCACACUGUGACGGUAUCUUACCAGAAAGGGACGGCUAACUACGUG